rnacentral:rRNA from 1 species
AGAUUGAACGCUAGCGGGAUGCUUUACACAUGCAAGUCGAACGGCAGCGCGGACUUCGGUCUGGCGGCGAGUGGCGAACGGGUGAGUAAUAUAUCGGAACGUGCCCAGUAGCGGGGGAUAACUACGCGAAAGCGUGGCUAAUACCGCAUAAGAUCUACGGAUGAAAGCGAGGGGAUCGCAAGACCUUGCGCGAA